AACUAUAUGUUACAAUAUAUAGCAGUUUCUGCUCAAUGGAAUACUAAAUAGCCGCAGUACCCUGACUGUGCAAAGGUAGCAUAAUAAGUUGGCUUAUAAUUGAAGUCUAGAAUGAAUGAUAUUUCGGAAAGAAACUGUCUUAUAUAUAAUAACCUAAAUUAGUAAAUAAGUGCAAAUACUUGUUAAUUUAAAAAGGACGAGAAGACCCUAGAAACUUUUAAGAAAUUUUUGUUGGGGCGACAGGAUUGCAAUGAACCAGUUUUGAAGCACGUGACGUUAUGCUGAAAGAUCAAGUUACUCUAGGGAUAACAGCAUAAUUUUUAAUAGUUUGUGACCUCGAUGUUGGACUAGGUACAGUAUAUUUUAGAAGAAUAUUCUGCCUGCUCUGUUCGAGCAGCUUCACCUACAU
rnacentral:rRNA from 1 species